rnacentral:rRNA from 1 species
GAUGAACGCUGGCGGCGUGCCUAAUACAUGCAAGUCGAGCGGACAGACGAGGAGCUUGCUCCUCUGACGUUAGCGGCGGACGGGUGAGUCACACGUGGAUAACCUACCUAUCAGACUGGGAUAACUUCGGGAAACCGGAGCUAAUACCGGAUGAUAUAUUGAACCGCAUGGUUCAAUAGUGAGAGACGGCGUUGCUGUCACUUAUAGAUGGAUCCGGGCGGCAUUAGCUAGUUGGUAAGGUCAUGGGCUACCAAGGCGACGAUGCGUAGCCGACGUGAGGGGGUGAUCGGCCACACUGGAACUGAGACACGGUCAAGACUACUACGGGAGGGAGCAGUAGGGAACCUUACGCAAUGGGCGAAAGCUUGACGGAGCAACGCCGCGUGAGUGAUGAAGGUCUUCGGAUCGUAAAACUGUGUUAUUAGGGAAGAACAAAUGUGUAAGUAACUAUGCACGUCGUGACGGUACCUAAUCAGAAAGCAACGGCUAACUACGUG